UGCAUAAGCCACUCCCCAACUUUGUUGCAACUAGAAUCAUCAGACACACUCCUUCAUCCAUCUCCUCCACCUCUCAUUCUCUCAAAAACUCUAUGUAACAAAUAAACCUUCUCACCUUCAACCUCUCAAACCCACACAUCUUGACACAACCACCUCCCUCGUUCUCUUUCCUUCUCACGAAACGAAACGCAAAAGCCAUUCGCCGUAGUCGGAAUCUCACCAGGGUUUGAAGCAUCACCGGAAAGGUCAGAACUCGCCGGAAUCACGCCCGGAGUUCAUCGAGUCGGACACGGCUCUUCUCGUUUUGCAUAAAAAAAAGACAACCGGAACCGUGACAAAGCCAGGAUACGUUUCGCCACCCUCUCACCGUUGUUUCACUCGCGAGAACGAUAACAAACUCGUCGGAGAAAGCUAGUCGUCACCGGAGUUCACCGGAGCCGUCCGAAUCACGUCGGAGACUCGGAGAAGGCGACCGGAAAGCCCGCGGCCCUUAUAUCGUUUCGCCAACCACAUUAGAAGUCGUGAGUUUUGGAAUGUUGUUAAUCGCUAUCGUUCGUUCUCUUGGUUUCCUAACCUUACUCGUGCGUUACUUACAAGAAAGCGCAACGCAACCAAUGUGA
rnacentral:lncRNA from 1 species